UUGUUCAAGCAACAGAAAUAAGAGAGUUAAUGUAUAUAAAUCAGAUUUAUGUUUGCACAAUUUGUAACCAUUGUAAGUUUGUUGCGCAUUCUGAUGUUCUGCUGCGGAACGGAGACAAAGCGUCCUCUCAGAGGAGUGAACAGGUGGCAUCUGUGCGUUUGAAGGGAGUCGCGGUUGAUUAUGCCCUAGAAUGGAUUAUUUCAGAAGGAAUAGCAACACAGCAUUGUGUCAAUAGCAUGAUUGUGCCAUUCUGACUUGGACCUGUGGCUUCUGAUUCAGCCUGAGAGGUAAUUCACCAGUGAUUUAUAGGGGAGGCACUGUGUAAGUUACAUAUUUGUCAUGUUUGUAUUAUUUGUAUAUUUGUUCCAUUCAUUUCAUUAGGAUCAUGAGAUAUUGUUUGCUUGCUCAGGAAAAAGUUGCAAAGGUGCCAUUGAGUGUAUAAUGAAGGAUUUAUUUUAUACUCCCAUUGCUGUUUGCUCCCAUUAUGACCAUGCAAGAGGUAUUUUUGUUAUUUAAAUAAGUAGGUUACAAGGGUGUUAGUGAUUGUGUAAUAAGAAAUUUAUGUUUUGUUUGGCUCCCAUUGACCAUUCCAUUUGUGUACAAGGUCAUAUUGUAUUUGCAAUCAUUUUGGAUUAUUGUUCAUAUAUGAUAGUUGUCCACAGGUUGGACCCUACAAUAAAGGAGUAACUGCCA